rnacentral:rRNA from 1 species
UACAGAGGGGGCAAGCGUUAUUCGGAAUUAUUGGGCGUAAAGGGCGCGUAGGCGGCCUGACAAGUGGAUGGUGAAAUCCCUCGGCUCAACCAAGGAAGUGCAUCCGAAACUGCCGAGCUUGAGUACUUAAGAGGAUCGCGGAAUUCCCGGUGUAGAGGUGAAAUUCGUAGAUAUCGGGAGGAACACCAGUGGCGAAGGCGGCGAUCUGGGAAGAUACUGACGCUGAGGUGCGAAAGCGUGGGGAGCAAACAGG